CGGAGCUCGGGCUAACUCCACUUCCGGUGUUUGCUCUGGCGGCGUCGGAGCCGGGGCUGCGUUGGGCGGUGCGAAGAGAGGCCCUGCUGCCAGCGAAGACUGUGGAUUAAGACGUGCAGAAAGUAACUGAUCUUCUCGGUCUGAAGUAGGUAUGAGUGAUUUCAGCGAAGACUUGCUGAGGCCCACGCCAGAGGAUGACCCAGCAGAAACCAGUGUCCGCCCUCGUUCAGGAAUGUGUCUUCCUUGGCUCCAAAAGCAAGUAGAAAGUGUGGCGACCCGAGGGAAAAAGGAGAAGGAUUUUGCUCAGACGACAAGUGCCUGUUUAAGUUUCAUCCAAGAAGCCCUGCUGAAGCAUCAGUGGCAGCGAGCAGCCGAGUUCAUGCACAGCUGCCUCCAGAUCCUGGAAGACUCGGACAGCCACAAGAGGCAGGCUGCGCCCGAGAUUAUUUGGAAACUCGGAAGUGAAAUUCUCUAUUAUCACCCCAAAAGCAGUGUGGAGACUUUUAAUACCUUUGCAGACAGGAUGAAAAACAUUGGCGUCAUGAAUUACUUAACGAUCUCCUUGCAACACGCGUUGUACCUCCUGCAUCACGGGAUGUUCGACGACGCCAGCAGAAAUCUCAGCCAGGCGGAGACGUGGAGAUACGGUGAAAAGUCGUCUUCCCAGGAGGCGUUAAUCAACCUCGUUCAGGCCUAUAAAGGGCUCCUGCAAUAUUACACUUGGUCUAAGAAGAAGAAGGAACUGUCCGAGCUUGAUGAGGAUGACUAUGCUUACAGCACAGCAUCUCAGAACAUGUUCAAGCACAGCUGGAAGACGUCCGUCAGCUUCUCUGCAUUGGUUCAGACGCCUGGCGUUUGGGACCCUUUUGUGAAGAGCUAUGUAGAGAUGCUGGAAUUCUAUGGGGAUCAAGAUGGGGCCCGAGAGGUCCUCACUAACUAUGCCUACGACGAAAAGUUCCCAUCCAACCCGAACGCGCACGUCUACUUGUACAACUUCCUGAAGAGGGAGAAGGCACCAAGAGAGAAACUGAUAAGUGUGCUUAAGAUUUUGUAUCAGAUUGUGCCGUCUCAUACACUGAUGUUAGAAUUCCAUAGGUUACUGAGGAAAUCAGACAAAGAAGAGCACCAUAAACUGGGGCUGGAGGUACUAUUCGGUGUCUUAGAUUUUGCUGGAUGCACUAAAAACCUGACUGCUUGGCAAUAUUUGGCAAAAUAUCUCAGACAGAUCUUAAUGGGAAGUCACCUUGCCUGGGUUCAGGACGAGUGGAACUCCAGGAAAAACUGGUGGCCAGGCUUUCACUUCAGCUCCUUUUGGGCAAAAAGUGAUUGGAAGGAGGACAAAGCUUUGGCUUAUGAGAAAGCUUUUGUAGCUGGAAUAUUGUUAGGAAAAGCAAGAUGUGACUAUCAACAAACAAGAACCCAACCUUCUGAUAAACAUCUGAGACAAGAAGGUGCCUCACAGAACCAGCAUAACCAAGUUACAGCUACCACCGCAAGGGGCCAGCCUUGUGUCAAAUGCGCACACUAACUGCACAGCAAGGGCAGUGAGAAUCCACAACUGACAUUGCUUUAGGUCCGUGAAAAUUGAAGCCAGUUUCGUGAUCGAUAAUUGACAACACUUACCAAGCACCUUGGGCUUUACCUUUCGUCAUGGCGUCACCACAAAUCCUCUGAAUCAUCCCUCGCUUACCAAGGAAGGAAGUCUGGUCCUCAGAGAACAGACAUUCAGGACCAGCGAAGUGCUGCCCCUUCUGUGAGAAGUGGGGGUGUUUUUCCUGCCUGGGUGGGACCCAUUUCCUCCCGGCCCUUGGGACACUUCACCUCCCUGCACACACCCUGCGCACAGGAAGGCAAAAUAACCACCCAGCGUGUGCUUCUGCAGAGCUGCAGUCCAGCAAGCCAAGAUGAACCUGUGAACUGCCACGCGUCCAUCCCCACCCGGAAACCAUCCUCACACGCCCCACAAUAUUUUGAAUAUAAUUUUUAAAAACCUGCCGCUUGUGUCUACAGAUGCUUACGGCAUAUAAAGGUCCAUGCAUCACUCCCAAAGCCAGUCAAUUUAAAGAAUAUGUUCUCUUGCCCUGACUGGUUUGGCUCAAUGG